rnacentral:misc_RNA from 1 species
GAGUUAAUUAUAUAUGCAAAAAAAAUGAGGCAUAGAGAGAAAAAUUAUAAAGAAAAGAAAAGAGUUGAAAAAUUCUAGAAACCCUAACCCAUUCUCUAAUUUGUUGUUAUGAGAGAAUUCUAAAUGCUGGAACCCAAAAUUUGCCUUUCUCUUGAUCGUUGUCUACUAAAGCAAUAGCUUAUUUGUGUUUUUCUUUCUUCAUUCGAAUCGAUGAUGGAG